UACGUAGGGGGCAAGCGUUGUCCGGAUUUAUUGGGCGUAAAGAGCGUGUAGGCGGCUAGGUAGGUCCGUUGUGAAAACUCGAGGCUCAACCUCGAGACGUCGAUGGAAACCAUCUAGCUAGAGUCCGGAAGAGGAGAGUGGAAUUCCUGGUGUAGCGGUGAAAUGCGCAGAUAUCAGGAAGAACACCCGUGGCGAAGGCGGCUCUCUGGUACGUGACUGACGCUGAGACGCGAAAGCGUGGGGGAGCGAACAGG
rnacentral:rRNA from 1 species